CCUUGAGAGUGGCGAACGGGUGAGUAAUAUAUCGGAACGUGCCCAGUCGUGGGGGAUAACGUAGCGAAAGUUACGCUAAUACCGCAUACGAUCUAAGGAUGAAAGCGGGGGAUCGCAAGACCUCGCGCGAUUGGAGCGGCCGAUAUCAGAUUAGGUAGUUGGUGGGGUAGAGGCUCACCAAGCCAACGAUCUGUAGCUGGUCUGAGAGGACGACCAGCCACACUGGAACUGAGACACGGUCCAGACUCC
rnacentral:rRNA from 1 species